rnacentral:rRNA from 1 species
UGAGUAACCUGCCCUUAACUCUGGGAUAAGCCUGGGAAACUGGGUCUAAUACCGGAUAUGACUCCUCAUCGCAUGGGUGGGGGGUGGAAAGCUUUAUUGUGGUUUUGGAUGGACUCGCGGCCUAUCAGCUUGUUGGUGAGGUAAUGGCUCACCAAGGCGACGACGGGUAGCCGGCCUGAGAGGGUGACCCGGCCACACUGGGACUGAGACACGGCCCAGACUCCUACGGGAGCAG